GUUUUAUAAUGUUAAGGUAUAUCCUGUGAUGGUUGAAGUAUGUCAUGUACUACUUGCCUUUGAUUUUAUAGGGGAUUAUACUCAAGAUAUUCCAUGAUUCUCAGAAGAGACUUGGGACUUUCAAACAUUGUUGUGGUGUGUUAGACUAUCGGGACUUUUGGAGUUGGAGUUAAUAUAUUUUGUAUAGUGUAAUGCUAGAGCUUGUCAUAAUCCCAUUGCCUCAUGUGUUUAAACAAGACUAUGAAUGCCAUAGACUGGAAUGUGAUUGGUGAGAUAUGUUUAGCCUAUGAGAAGUAGUUUGCAAUAAUCAGGUAUGUGGCCUUGUUGGGGAAGGUAUAGCUUUCCUACAGGAAGUGUGUCAGAUUGUGUCACAAUGGAGGCAGUGCUUUGAAAUGUCAGGACAUUGUCAAUUCUGGGCAGAGUGAUCCAGACCAUACUCCUGGCUGGCUGUAAAAGAGAGUCUCCUAACUGGAUAAAGCUGUAGAACCCUUGGCUCCUCCAGCACCAUGGCUUCCUAUAUGCUGUCAGGCUUCCUGACAUGAUCGUAAUAUUAGGAAUUUACUAGCAGGGCUGAUGGUAUUGCUAUGGUAGGUCUGACCAUAGUUUUGUUUGAAGGAAUAAUUAUUUUAGGAUUUUGUAAUGGAGGGGAGGCUUUAAAUGGGGCUCAUCGGUCCAUAGGAUUAGAAGCAUGGAAGACAGUGUUGCUGAGAGUGAUUUCAACUGUGGGGGCCUGUCUCUAAGAAACUUCAAAGGAGAAGACUCAUAAACCUGAAUCUCCAAAGUGUCCCCAGAUAAUAUUAUGAUGACAAUCAUCCAUGAGCCAUCAAUGUCCAUAUUGAAACCUACAAUCAUUGUUGCUUCUGAAGAGAUUUCUAACGUCAAGGAUCCCUGAAGCCAGCAGAAUGUACGCUGAAGUUCACAGUCAAUACUGCAACCUCAGGUCAUGUUGAGAGUUCCACAUAUAGUGAGUUGAGGUCACAUAUAUACUGGCAACAGACAACAGUGCAUGUAUGUGAUACUUCAGGCCUCAGCAGCCUGAUAUCAUUGAUCUCCACUGCCUCACGAGAGCACAUUAAUAUGAGUGUCUCCAACUGCCAGUAAAAUCAUUACAGAUAUCAGUUAUCCAUGAUCCUGUCCAACUUGUGAGAAGGGUUCUGCCAGCUGUAACCAUUUUUAUGUCAUGUUGUAUCCUGUCACUAAACAAGAGGUUUCUGUUCAUGGCCAUACCUGCUAUCUGAAACUAUCUUAAUGUCCCUGAUAUUCAUGGCAACUGACACCAUGGUGUAUCUCUGAUCCUUCCUGCAACUUUGGAUCAGUUGAUAACAUGAGAAAUACCGGCAUCCAAAGAAAAUACAUUGAUAUUACUCAUAUACAAUGCCACUGGUAACAAUACUGAGAUCCAUAGUCAGUGUUGUGCUGGAAAAGAUCCCUGAUGUCUUAGAUCCCAAUGCCAGAAGAGUCUAUUAUAAAGAUCAUUGUCAGUAGUGCUGCCUACUGUCAUAAUGAGGUAAGUACUGUGUUUUGUUAAUGAAGACACCAUUGAUGCCAGUGAUCCUACCUGCAACCUGAAGUUAUGUUAAGGUCACUGCUGUUUGAAGUGAUCAGCAAUCAAGAUGGAGUCCAUUGUUAAUAUCACUGAAGGUGAUCUUGGCGAUGGCUAUGAUCUACAUUGUUUCUGGAGAACCUGAUGAAUGCCAAGGUCCAUACUGAUGCAGAACGUCAUUUUGAGGUAAUUGUUUUGAGCUGGCACUGGAGAUCUGAUUGAUAGCUGAGAUUCGACCCAUCACAGUAAAUUCAGUUGAAGUUUCUGAUGCAUGCAUGUAUCCUCCGAUGUUGAUCAUGCAAAGUAUUUUGAUGCCAGCAAUCCUACCUGUAUCAUGAAGCUCUGUUGAUGUCAGUGAUGUAUUCUGUGUCCAGAAAUAAUGAAGGAGUACAUUUUUCAUAUUGGUGAUGGAGUCUCUGAUGAUGGCUAAGAUAUGUGUUGCUGUUCGAGCACCUGAUAAAUUCCAAGGUCCUUAUUGAUUCCUGAAUUCAUAUUGAGGAAAUUCUGUUGAUGUUCCUGAUGCAUGCAUAUAGGUCCAGAUGCUAUAUGUGCAAUAUAUGAUGAUGCCUAUGAUAAUAUCUGAAACAUAAACCUAUGUAGAUGUAAAUGCUGCAUGAUAUGAGCUGCAAUCAUGAUGGAGUCCCUUAUUCCUAUCGUUGAUGGCAUAUCAUAGUUAAGGCUAUGAUCUGUGUUGCUGUUUGAGAAUCUGGUGAAUUUGACAGUCAAUACUGAAGCCCAAGGUCAUAUUGAGAACCUGAAUCUCCAAAGUGUCCCCAGAUAAUAUUAUGAUGACAAUCAUCCAUGAGCCAUCAAUGUCCAUAUUGAAACCUACAAUCAUUGUUGCUUCUGAAGAGAUUUCUAACGUCAAGGAUCCCUGAAGCCAGCAGAAUGUACGCUGAAGUUCACAGUCAAUACUGCAACCUCAGGUCAUGUUGAGAGUUCCACAUAUAGUGAGUUGAGGUCACAUAUAUACUGGCAACAGACAACAGUGCAUGUAUGUGAUACUUCAGGCCUCAGCAGCCAUGAUAUCAUUGAUCUCCACUGCCUCACGAGAGCACAUUAAUAUGAGUGUCUCCAACUGCCAGUAAAAUCAUUACAGAUAUCAGUUAUCCAUGAUCCUGUCCAACUUGUGAGAAGGGUUCUGCCAGCUGUAACCAUUUUUAUGUCAUGUUGUAUCCUGUCACUAAACAAGAGGUUUCUGUUCAUGGCCAUACCUGCUAUCUGAAACUAUCUUAAUGUCCCUGAUAUUCAUGGCAACUGACACCAUGGUGUAUCUCUGAUCCUUCCUGCAACUUUGGAUCAGUUGAUAACAUGAGAAAUACCGGCAUCCAAAGAAAAUACAUUGAUAUUACUCAUAUACAAUGCCACUGGUAACAAUACUGAGAUCCAUAGUCAGUGUUGUGCUGGAAAAGAUCCCUGAUGUCUUAGAUCCCAAUGCCAGAAGAGUCUAUUAUAAAGAUCAUUGUCAGUAGUGCUGCCUACUGUCAUAAUGAGGUAAGUACUGUGUUUUGUUAAUGAAGACACCAUUGAUGCCAGUGAUCCUACCUGCAACCUGAAGUUAUGUUAAGGUCACUGCUGUUUGAAGUGAUCAGCAAUCAAGAUGGAGUCCAUUGUUAAUAUCACUGAAGGUGAUCUUGGCGAUGGCUAUGAUCUACAUUGUUUCUGGAGAACCUGAUGAAUGCCAAGGUCCAUACUGAUGCAGAACGUCAUUUUGAGGUAAUUGUUUUGAGCUGGCACUGGAGAUCUGAUUGAUAGCUGAGAUUCGACCCAUCACAGUAAAUUCAGUUGAAGUUUCUGAUGCAUGCAUGUAUCCUCCGAUGUUGAUCAUGCAAAGUAUUUUGAUGCCAGCAAUCCUACCUGUAUCAUGAAGCUCUGUUGAUGUCAGUGAUGUAUUCUGUGUCCAGAAAUAAUGAAGGAGUACAUUUUUCAUAUUGGUGAUGGAGUCUCUGAUGAUGGCUAAGAUAUGUGUUGCUGUUCGAGCACCUGAUAAAUUCCAAGGUCCUUAUUGAUUCCUGAAUUCAUAUUGAGGAAAUUCUGUUGAUGUUCCUGAUGCAUGCAUAUAGGUCCAGAUGCUAUAUGUGCAAUAUAUGAUGAUGCCUAUGAUAAUAUCUGAAACAUAAACCUAUGUAGAUGUAAAUGCUGCAUGAUAUGAGCUGCAAUCAUGAUGGAGUCCCUUAUUCCUAUCGUUGAUGGCAUAUCAUAGUUAAGGCUAUGAUCUGUGUUGCUGUUUGAGAAUCUGGUGAAUUUGACAGUCAAUACUGAAGCCCAAGGUCAUAUUGAGAACCUGAAUCUCCAAAGUGUCCCCAGAUAAUAUUAUGAUGACAAUCAUCCAUGAGCCAUCAAUGUCCAUAUUGAAACCUACAAUCAUUGUUGCUUCUGAAGAGAUUUCUAACGUCAAGGAUCCCUGAAGCCAGCAGAAUGUACGCUGAAGUUCACAGUCAAUACUGCAACCUCAGGUCAUGUUGAGAGUUCCACAUAUAGUGAGUUGAGGUCACAUAUAUACUGGCAACAGACAACAGUGCAUGUAUGUGAUACUUCAGGCCUCAGCAGCCAUGAUAUCAUUGAUCUCCACUGCCUCACGAGAGCACAUUAAUAUGAGUGUCUCCAACUGCCAGUAAAAUCAUUACAGAUAUCAGUUAUCCAUGAUCCUGUCCAACUUGUGAGAAGGGUUCUGCCAGCUGUAACCAUUUUUAUGUCAUGUUGUAUCCUGUCACUAAACAAGAGGUUUCUGUUCAUGGCCAUACCUGCUAUCUGAAACUAUCUUAAUGUCCCUGAUAUUCAUGGCAACUGACACCAUGGUGUAUCUCUGAUCCUUCCUGCAACUUUGGAUCAGUUGAUAACAUGAGAAAUACCGGCAUCCAAAGAAAAUACAUUGAUAUUACUCAUAUACAAUGCCACUGGUAACAAUACUGAGAUCCAUAGUCAGUGUUGUGCUGGAAAAGAUCCCUGAUGUCUUAGAUCCCAAUGCCAGAAGAGUCUAUUAUAAAGAUCAUUGUCAGUAGUGCUGCCUACUGUCAUAAUGAGGUAAGUACUGUGUUUUGUUAAUGAAGACACCAUUGAUGCCAGUGAUCCUACCUGCAACCUGAAGUUAUGUUAAGGUCACUGCUGUUUGAAGUGAUCAGCAAUCAAGAUGGAGUCCAUUGUUAAUAUCACUGAAGGUGAUCUUGGCGAUGGCUAUGAUCUACAUUGUUUCUGGAGAACCUGAUGAAUGCCAAGGUCCAUACUGAUGCAGAACGUCAUUUUGAGGUAAUUGUUUUGAGCUGGCACUGGAGAUCUGAUUGAUAGCUGAGAUUCGACCCAUCACAGUAAAUUCAGUUGAAGUUUCUGAUGCAUGCAUGUAUCCUCCGAUGUUGAUCAUGCAAAGUAUUUUGAUGCCAGCAAUCCUACCUGUAUCAUGAAGCUCUGUUGAUGUCAGUGAUGUAUUCUGUGUCCAGAAAUAAUGAAGGAGUACAUUUUUCAUAUUGGUGAUGGAGUCUCUGAUGAUGGCUAAGAUAUGUGUUGCUGUUCGAGCACCUGAUAAAUUCCAAGGUCCUUAUUGAUUCCUGAAUUCAUAUUGAGGAAAUUCUGUUGAUGUUCCUGAUGCAUGCAUAUAGGUCCAGAUGCUAUAUGUGCAAUAUAUGAUGAUGCCUAUGAUAAUAUCUGAAACAUAAACCUAUGUAGAUGUAAAUGCUGCAUGAUAUGAGCUGCAAUCAUGAUGGAGUCCCUUAUUCCUAUCGUUGAUGGCAUAUCAUAGUUAAGGCUAUGAUCUGUGUUGCUGUUUGAGAAUCUGGUGAAUUUGACAGUCAAUACUGAUGCCCAAGGUCAUAUUGAGGAGAAAUGUUUUACCAGUCUAACCGUUUUGAUGUCAUGAUGCAGCCUACCACUACAGAAGAGGUUUCUGUACAAGGUCCUACUGAUCAUCUGAAUAUGCAGAGUACUGGAUAUGCAUAAUACUUCCUGGCAAAAGUCAAGAUGGCAUAUUCCAGAUCAAUGCUGCCAUAAGCAGCAAGGUUAUGACUAAUACUUGCUGUCACUUUGGACCUGAUCGAUGACAUCAAUGAUCCCAACUGUCAAAGGAAGUAUAUUGAUGUCACUCAUCCAUGAUGCUACUGGUGAUCAUGUUGAAAUCCAAAGUCAGUGUUUUCAUGGAAGUAUUCCCCGAUGUGUGAGAUCUCUGAGACAGCAGAGUCUUUCGUGAAGUUCAUGAUCAGUAGUGAUGCCCAAGGUCAUAAUGAGGUAAGUGUUGUGUGCUGCUACAGGAGAUGCAUUGGAUGCCUGUGACUACCUGAAACAUGAAGUUAUUCUGAUGCCAGUGCUCCAGCUGUGACCAGCAAUCAUUAUGGAGUCCAUUAUUCCUAUUACUGAUUGAGACCCUGGUGAUUGCUAUGAUCUCAUUUGCUUCUGGAAAACUACCUGAAUGCCAAUGUCCAUACAGACAACUGAUGUCAUAUUGAGUGUUCUGAGAUGACACUGGAGAACAGAUUGAUGGCUGAGAUCCUAAGUGUCACAGGGAAUUCUGUUGAUGUUCCUGACAAAAACAUGUAGUCUGUGAUGUCUAUCAUGGAAUGUAUCUUGAUGCCUGUGAUCCUACCUUUAACAAGAAGCUAUGUUGAUAUCAGUGAUACAUUCUGUGACCAGCAAUCAUGAAGGAGUCCAUUAUUCCUAUUGGUGAUGGAGAUCCUGGAAUGGCUAUGAUCUACAUUUCUGCUUGAGAACCUGAUAAAUUCCAAGGUUCUUAUUGAUGCCUUCUAGCAUACUGAGGUAAGUGUUCUUAGUUGGCCCUGGAUAUCAUAUUGAUGUCUGAGAUCCUACCUCCCACAGGAAAUUCAGAAGAUGUCAUGGGUGCAUGCAUGUAGCUCCUGCUGUUAAUCAUCAUUACCACCCCAAGAAGUGGAAGUGAUGCCUAAUAUCUAUCCUGCCACUGGAGAAGAGGUUUAUAAUCAUAAUUUCAUCUGCUGUUCGAAUUGUUGCUGAUGUCACUGAAAUAUACCUGGCAAGAGACACCACAGUAUUGCCCAUCAUCCAUACUGCUUUUGACAAAGUUGUCAGUGAUCUCUGAUUCCACUGGGAACCAUGCUAAUAUCACUAAUCCAAAGUGCCUACAGCAACUUGGAUGGUGUGAAUCAUCCAUCCUGUACCAGGAGCUAUGUUGAAACCCAUAGAAUAUAUUGCUUCUGAAGACAUGAUUAUUGUUAAUGGUACCUGAAUCCAUCAAAGUAAGGUGAAGUUCAAGUUCAAUAGUGCUGCCAAUGGUAAUGUUUAGUUAUAUUUUCUGACAUAUGUUAUGUUGAGAGCAUAUAAAUUGUGGUGAUGUACACUGGUGUAUGUCCAUAAUACCUCAGGCCUCCAACAGCCAUGCAAGUAAUACCUGCUGCCAUUAGGGAUAGGAGUUUAUCCAACUGCCAAUGGAAUUAUUACUGAUAUCUGUUUUCCAUUCUUCUGCUCAAUUUAUGAGAAUAUUCUUGCCCUCUAUAACAAUUUUGAUGUCAUGAUGCAUCCUGCCACUAGAGAAGAGGUUUAUGUUCAUGACCAUACUUCUCCUCUGAAACUAUUUUGAUGCUCCCUAAUACUUUGUGGCAACUGACUCUACUUUAUAUCCCACAACCCUGAUGCCAUAGGCAACCAGGUCAGGGGUGAAGCUUACUCCCACUUUGGACCAUUCAAUGAAACCAGAGACCACAACUGCCAAGGGAAGUAUAUUGAUAUCACUCAUCCAUGAUACCACUGGUAACCAUGUUGAGAUCCAUAGUCAAUGUUUGUAGGUGGAAUGGCUUAGCAACAAAUGUUGCCUUUGACGAGCUCCUUGGCUGCUGAGAUCCCUUGGCCACUAGAGUCUAUUGUAAAGAUCAUUGUCAUUAUGGCUGCCUAAGUUUAUAAACAGGAAAGAGCCGUAUACUAUUACUGUCAUCACCUUUGAUGUCAGUGAUCAUAUCUUCAUUUUGAAGUUCUGCUGAUAUCAUUGUAUGCUCUAAUCAGCCAGCGUGAUAGAGGCCAUUGUUCCUAUUACAUAUGGAAAACCUAAUGAUGACUAGAAUCUGUGUUGCUUCUGGAGAAACUUCUGAAUUCCAAGGACCUUGGGACCAAUAUCAUCCAAGGUCAUAUUGAGGGUAAGUGUUGUUAGCUGACAAAACUAAUCUCUGAGAUCCUACCCACCACAGGGAAUUCUACUGAUGUUCCUGAUGCAUGCAUGUAGCUCCUGAUGUGAAAAAACAUUGUAUUUUGAUGCUUAUGAUCCUACCUGUAACAAGAAGUUGUGCUGAUACCAGUGCUGCAUGUGGUGACUAGAAAUCAUGAUGGUGUCCAUUAUUCCUAAUGCUGAUGGUGAUGGCUCUUAUUUGUGUUGCUGCUUGAGAAUCCAAUGAAUCCCAAGGUCCAUACUGAUGCCCAUGAUCAUUUUGAUGUAAAUAUUUUUAGCUGGUACUGGAGAUCCGAUUGUUAUCUAGAAGCCUACCCGAAACAGGAAAAUUGGUUGAUGUUCCUUAUACAUGUGUGUAGCCCCCCAUUUUAAACAUGUAAUAAAUAUUGAUGCCUGUGAUCCUGCCUGAAACAUGAAGCUGUUUUGAUGUCAGCACUGUUUGAUGACCAGCAAUCAUGAUGGAAUCUAUUAUUUCCAUUGCUAAUGGACACACUGGUGAUGGCUAUGAUCUAUGCUUUUGCUUGAGAACCCGAUGAAUCCAAAGGUCUGUAAUGAUGUGGUAGGUGAUAUUGAGGUAAGUGUUCUGAGCUAGCAAUGGAGAUCAUAUUGAUAUAUGAGAUCCUAUCUGCCACAGGAAAUUCUGUUGAGAUCACUGAUACAUGAAUGCAGCCCCUGAUUUUUGACCUUGUUACGUGCAAGAUCCUUACUGCUACCUGAAGUGAUAGUGAUAACAGUGAUCUAUCCUGCCACUAGGGAAGAGAUGUAUGAUUUGCCCUAUGAAUUGAUGAUGAUGUCACUGAUAUAUACCUGGCAACAUACACCAUGGUAUUGUCCAAGGUCCAUGCUGCCAUUGACAACCUGGUUGUCAGUAAUCCCUGCUGCACCUGCUUACCAUGUUAAUAUCACCAUUACCAAAUGCUUGUAGAAACUAUGAUGGUUUCAGUAGCCAUGUUUAAAAUCAUAGUCCAUGAUGCCUCUUAGGAUAUUUUUAAUGCAAAUGAUCCCUGGGGCUAGCAGAAUCUAAGGUAAUGUUUUAGGUCAAUACUGAUGUCUGAGAUCAUGUUGAGUCAUAUGUUCUGAGAUAUAUUAUGGUGAAGUCACAUAUAGUGUGGCAACAGACACGGUUGUCUGUUAUAUAUAUUUCAGUCUUCCAGCAGUCAUGUCCGUGAUCCCUGCUGCCUCUUGGGAACACAUUAAUAUCACUGUUUCUAACUGGCAAUGGCAUCGUCACUGAUGCCAAUUUUCUAAGAUUCUGCCCAAUUCAUGAGAAGGGUUCUUCUAGCUGUAACCAUUUUUAUGUCAUGUUGCAUUCUGUCACUAGACAAGAGGUUUCUGUACAUGGUCAUACCUGCCCUAUGAAACUGUCUUGAUAUCCCUGGCAACAGAUAUACCAUAGUAUAUUUCAGAUUCCUAUGCCCACAGUCAACCAGGCAGUGAAUAAUUGCUACUACCACUUUGGAACAAAUUGAUGACAUUCGUGAUCCCAACUGCCAAGGGAAAAAUAUUGAUGUCGUUCAUCUAUGCUGUCAUUUGUAUCCACAUUGUGAACCAUAAGUAGCAUGUUUGAAGAGGCCUUGAUGUCUGUGAUAACUCAACCAGAAUAAUCUGUUGUGAAUUUCAGUGUUAGUUCUGGUGCUAAAGGUCAUAAUGAGGCAAGUCCUGUGUGUUCCUACUGGAGACAUGUGAUGCUAGUGAUGCUAGUGAUGUUGAUGCUAGUGAUCAUGUGUGAAACCUGAAGCUGUGUUGAUGUCAGUGCUGCAUGCUAUAACCAGAAAUCAUGAUGGAGUCUAUUAUUGUGAUGGCUAUGAUCUGUGCUGCUUCUGGAGAACAUGCUAAAUUCUGAGGUCCAUACUGACACAUGAGGUCAUAGUGAGGUAAGUGUUCUUAUCUGGCACGUGAGAUCAGAUUGAUUUAUGAGAUCCAACUUGCCAUAGGAAAUUCUGUUCGUGUCCCUGAUGCAUACAUGUAGAACCUACUAUCAACCAUGAAACACACAAUAUCCUUACUACCACCAUAAGUGCUAGUUUUGUCAAUAAUAUAUCCUGUCACUGGAGAAGGGUUUGUGACCAUAAUUUCUUCUCUCCUGUGAAUCAGUGCUGAUGGCACUGAUAUAUACCUGGCAGCAGACACCAUGGUAUUGUCCAAGAUAAUUGAUGCCAAUGGCAAACUUAUUGUCAGUGAUCCUAGCUUCAUGGGGUACCAUGUUUAUGUCACUAAUGCAAAGAGGCUGCAGAGACUUUGAUUAUGUGAGUCAUACAUGCUGCCUCUAGUAGCCAUGUUGAAAUCCAUAGUCAGUGUUGGUGCUGAAGACAUUGUGGAUGUUAAGAAUCCCUGAGAUCAUCAGAAUCUACAAUGAAAUUCAGUCAAUAAUGCUGUCUUGGAUCAUGUUGAGUUACAUGUUCUGAGACAAGAUAUAUGUUGAGUAUGUAUUUAUAAAAGUCAGACACCACUGUGUGUCUAUAAUUCUUCUGGUCUCUAGUAGCCAAUAUGUCAUUGAGCCCUUAUGACAUUUGUGACCACAUUAAUAUGACUUUAUUAAUUGCCAACGGAAUCACUACUGAUGCUUAUUAUCUAUGCUUCUGCAGAAAAUCUAAGAAGUAUCUUGCAUUCAUAAGUAAUUUGAUGCAAUGAUUCACUCUACAACUAGAAAUAAGGUUUCUCUAUAUGGUCAUACCUGCACUUUGAAAGUAUUUUCAUGUCCUUUGUACUUCCUGGCAAUGGACACCAUGUUAUCUCACAGAUCCCUGCUGCCAUAGACAACCAGAUCAUGAGUGAUCCCUAUUCCCACUUUGGACCAAAUUGAUAACAUCUGUGAUCCCAACUACCAAGGGAAAUACUGACAUUACUGAUAAUAAUCCAUGUUGUCACUGAUAAUCAUGUUGACAUCCAUAAUCUGUGUGGUCAUUGCAAAUAGCAAUGUUAAGAAUCCCUGAGACCAUCAGAAUCUAUAAUGAAGUUCAGUCAAUAGUGCUGCCUUUGAUAAUGUUGAGUUACAUGUUCUGAGAUAUGUUAUGUUGAGGUCAUACAUAUAGUCACACCAGACACCACUGUAUGUCCAUGAUAUUUCAGGCCUCUAGUUAAAUCAACCAGAAGGAUCUAUUGUGAAUUCCACGGUAAUUCAAUCCCUGUCUAAAGUCAAAGUGAGGUAAGUGUUGUGUGCUGCUACUGGAGACAUGUUUGAUGUCUGUGAUCCUAACGGCAACCUGAAGCUAUGUUGAUGGCAAUGCUGAAUCAUGAUGGACUCCAGGAUUCCUAUUGCUGAUAGAGACCAUGGUUAUGGCUAGGAUCUCUGCUGCUAUUUAAGGACAUGUUAAUUCUAAGGUCUAUACUGACAGUUGAGGUGAUAUUGAGGUAUGUGUUCUGAGUUGGCACUAGAGAUCACAUUAAUAUCUGAGAUCCUGCCUGCUACAGGAAAUUCUGUUGAUGUCCCUGAUGCAUGCAUGAAUCCCCUGAUGUAAACCAUGAGUUCACUGAUAUAUACAUCAUUGGAAGAGACAGCACUGUAUGUCUAUAUUCUUUAAUGCCACAAGCAGCCAUAUUGUCAGUGAUUCUUUCCCCACUUGGGACCACAUUAAUAUGAAUGAUUCCAAUUGUCAUUGGAAUCUAUACUGAUGUGAGUGAUGCAUGCUUCUGUCACCUGUGAGAAUGUUCUUUAUGAGAAGUAUACUCGUAGCUAUAAUAAUUUUGAAGUCAAUGAUUCAUUCUGACACUAUAGAUAUUAUUACUUCUCAUGGUCCUCCCUGCCCUAUGAAACUACCAUGAUGUUCCUGAUACUUCCUGGCAAUUGACAUCAUAGUAUAUCCAAGAUUCCCUAAUGCUACAGGCAACCAGGAUUUUAAUGAUCCCUAUUGAUACUUUGGACUAAAUGUGAUAUCAAUUGUCCUAUUUGCUAAGAGAAAUAUAUUGAUUUUACUCACCUGUUUUACUGUUUAUAACCACAUUGAGAUCCAUAGUCAGUGCUGUUUCUAAAGACCUUCUUGAUGUCUAUGAUCAAUGUGGCCAGCGUGUCAAUUGUGAAGUUCAUGGUCACAACUGCUUCCAAAGAUCAUAAUGAGGAAGACCUUAUUGAUGACAAGGAUCUGUGCUGCUGCAUGAGAACAGGCUGAAUUCCAAGUUCUAUACUGAUGUGCAGGGUCAUAUUGAGACCUCAUUAUGAGUAAUAUCCUUUCUGCCACAAGAAGAAAUUUGAUAUAAUUGAUUCAUCCUGCUACUGGAGAAGAGACUUAUGUUCAUAAUUUCUUCUACCCUCUGAAUCAACACUGAUGUCAGUGAUACAAUUGUCAACAGAUAUCAUACUAUAUCUAUAGUCCCUGCUGCAAUAGCAAGCAUCAUAUUAAAUAUUUGUGCUGCCAUUUUGGACCAGGAUGAUAUCAGUUACCACAACUGCCAACAGAAAUAUAGUGAUGUCACUCAUCCAUGCUUCUACCUGUAAAUAUAUUACUAUCCAUAGAUGUUGCUGCCUCUGAAGAGCUUUGUGAUGUCUGUUAUCCAUGGUGCUAGAAGAGUCUGUCUUGAAGUUCAUGGUCGAUAAUACUGCCUAAGUCAUGUUGAUGUAUGUGUACUAUGCUGCCACCAGAGACGUGUUUUAUGACUGUGACCUGACUUGCCUCCUGAAGCAGUGUUGAUGUCAUGGCUGCAUACUGACAUCACUAAUUGUGAUGGUGUUUAUUGUUCCAGUGGCAGGUAGGACCUGCCCUAUGAAACUAACAUGUACCAAGGGAUAAAUGCAUGCAUUAAGGACAUGUACCAGUACAACAAAACACAGGAGUGUAUGAAAUGCCUUUUAUGCAUGCAUGAAGCCCCUGCUGACUAAUCAUAACUCUUUUGACUAUAUUAUGCAUAAGAUCCUCACUGAAAUCAGAAGAAUUGUUCAAGAUGUCAUUGAUCCAUCCUGACAAUGGAGAAGAUGUUUAUGUUAAUAUUCUCUCUUGCCCUCUGAAUCUAUACCAAUGUCCAUGAUAUGCUCAGAAACAGAUACAAUGGUAUUGCCCAAGAUAAAUGCUGCCACAGGUAACCUUGAUUUUAGUGAUCCCUGUUGCAAAUGAGUACAAUGUUAAUAUCACUAAUUCAAAGUGCCACCAGAAACUAUGCUGAUGUCCAUCAUCAAUGAUAACACCGGCAUCAAGGUUGAAUGCCAUAGUCCAUGUUGGUUCUGAAGAGACUGAUAAUGUAAAGGAAACCUGUUGCUACCAAAGUCUAUGGUGAAGUUCAUAGUCAAUAUUGCUAACUAAGGUUUUGUUGAGUUAACCUUUCUGUGAUAUGUUGAGGUCAGUGAUACAUUAAGGCAACAAACACCAUUGUAUGCCCAUGAAUUUUGAUGCAAUGAGCAGCUAUAAUGUCAGUGAUCACUGGUGACACAUGUGACCACAUUAAUCUGAGUGAUUCCAGCUGCCACCAGAACCUAUACUGAUGUCUGUGAUCCAUUUUUCUGCCAUCUGAGACUAUGUUAUAUAAUAAAUAUAUGCUGCCAGCUGUACCACAUUUUAUGUCAAGGAUCCAUCCUGCCAAUAGAAAUGAAGUUUCUGUUCAUAGUCUGAUCUGUCCUCUGAAACUGCAUCAAUGUUACUGAUACCUUCUAGAAGCAAACACUAUGGUGUAUCCUAGAUCACUGAGGCCUCUGGCCCACCAGCAACCAUGAUGAUGUCCAUUAUUCCUAUUGAGGUCCUACCUGCCACAGGAAACUAUGGUGAUGUCCCUGACGUAUGAUUGUAGUUGCUUUGUAGAGCAUGCCAUGUAUAAGAUCCUAACUGUCACCAGAAUAGUUAUUGAUAUAAAUUCUGCAACCUUAUAGAUACUUUCCAGCUGUAACUAUUUUGAUGUUGAGGAUCUAUGCUGGAACUAGAGAAGAGGUUUCAGUAUAUGAUCUGAACUUCCAGUGAAACUAUGAUGUCAAUGACAACUCCACAGUAACAAAAAUUACAGUAUAUCCCGGAUCCAUUCUGUCACAAGUUACAAGAUGUUAGUGAUCCCAGGUCCCGCUAUGGAUUGGGAUGAUUAUAUUAGCGAUCCCACUUUUCCAGUGGAAGCAAUGUUCAUGUCAGUGCUACCUGUUGUCAUCAGCAAACAAUAUGAUGUCCUUCAUUGCUAUUGAGAUUCUACCUGCUACAAGAAACUAUGGUGAGGUCCCUGAUGCGUGCAUUUAUCCCUUGCUACAGACUAUCAUGUAUACUACCACCAGAAGUGAUGUUUGUGUUAGUGAUCCAUCCUGUGACAUUAGAAGAGAUUUAUGCCAAUAGACUCUUUCCCUCUGAGUAUAUACUGACGUCACUGACAUACCUAGCAACAUAUAUGGUAGGAUAGCACAAGAUCCAUGCUGCUACAGGCAACCUCAUCAAUGUUCCCUGUUGCCACUGGAAAUUAUACAAUCAUCACCAAUCUAACCUGCCCUCAGAAAUUAUGUUGAUGUCCAUCAUCCAUGAUGCCAACAGUACCCAUGUUACACAUAGUCCAUGUUGCUUCUGAAGAGAAUGUUAAUAUUAAGGAGUUCUCCAGCCACCAGUGUCUAUUCUGAAGUUUAUAGUCAAUAUUGUUGCCUGAGGUCAUGUUGUGAAGUGUUCUGAGAUAUGUUAUAUUGAGAUCAUUGGUAUAUUUUGGGAAAAGAUACCAUUGUGUGUCCACAAUCCUUGAUGCCAGGAACAGCCAGUAUGGUCGUGUUCUCUGCUGCCAAUUGGAAUAUGAAUUAUUCAAAUACUACCUGAAUCUAUGCUUAUGUCAGCAAUCAAUACUUAUGCCAUCUCGUACCAUGAUUUGUGCUGCUGGUUGCAACCAAUUUGAUGUCAAAGGUCUAUCCUGCCACUAGAGUAGACAUUACUUGCCAUGGUCUGAUACAUCCUCUGAAACUGUGUACAUGUCAAAAAUAUCUCCUGGCAAUAAACACCAUGGUUUAAGCCUGAUGAUGGCUGCUACUAGCCACCAGGAUAUUAGGGAUAUUAUGAUACUUUGGACUGUAAGGAUUAUAUCAUUCAUAACAAUUGCAAAGGAAAAUAUCUUGAUGCCACUUAACACUGCUGCCUAUGGUAACCAUGUUUAUAUCCCUAGUCAGUGUUUACCUUCAGGAGCUUGGUGAUGUCUGUGAGCCCUACUGCCGGAAGAGUCUAUCUUGAAGUACAUAAUACUGCUGCCUAUUUCAUGUUAAGUGUUCUGAAGGCCAUCUGAGAAAUAUGUGUGAUGAUACUUGCAACUGGAAUCUAUAACGAUAUCAAUACUGCCUGCUGUCACAAGCAAACAGGAUUGUGUCCAUAGAUACUAUUGAGAUACAACUUCCACAAGAAACUAUGAUGAUUUCCCUGAUGCAUGCAUGCACCCCACAAUGUAGACCACAUUAAAUAAAAUAGCCUUUUUGACACCAGA